AGGAUGAACCAGGGGUAUAAAUAAUGAAUGAAAGAGCGCAUGACAACAAAAGACAUCGCAUCUUUGACGAUACAAAACCCAGAAGAAAGCGGAAAAAGACCAAGAUUUUGGACAUCCCAGAAAUUGAUGAUGGUAUUAACAGGAAGUGAAUAAAGCAUGUUUGGAGCGAAUGAACUACAUGAACUGAAUGCAGAUAUUAUAUUUCACGAAGACAAUGCACAAG